UGCAAGUCGAACGCGCAGUUAUCUGUAGCAAUACAGGGGGCGGGCGCGUGGCGAACGGGUGCGUAACACGUGGAUAACCUUCCUUCAGGUGGGGAAUAACCCCGCGAAAGCGGGGCUAAUACCGCAUAACAUGACGGUGGCACAUGCUGUUGUCUUCAAAGCCGCAAGGCGCCAGAAGAGGGAUCCGCGGCCGAUUAGCUAGUUGGCGAGGUAAUGGCUCACCAAGGCAAUGAUCGGUAGCCGGACUGAGAGGUUGACCGGCCACACUGGAACUGAGACACGGUCCAGACUCCUACGGGAGGCAGCAGUGGGGAAUCUUGCGCAAUGGGCGAAAGCCUGACGCAGCAACGCCGCGCGGGGGAUGAAGCUUCUCGGAGUGUAAACCCCUUUCGACCCGGACGAAUGCCCGCAAGGGCUUGACGGUACGGGUAUAAGAAGCCCCGGCUAACUACGUGCCAGCAGCCGCGGUAAAACGUAGGGGGCCAGCGUUGCUCGGAAUUACUGGGCGUAAAGGGUCCGUAGGCGGUGUGGCAAGUCGGAAGUGAAAUCUCUGGGCUUAACUCAGAGGCUGCUUCCGAAACUGCUGUGCUAGAGUGCGAGAGAGGCGAGUGGAAUUGCGGGUGUAGCGGUGAAAUGCGUAGAUAUCCGCAGGAACAUCCGAGGCGAAAGCGGCUCGCUGGAUCGCAACUGACGCUGAGGGACGAAAGCUAGGGGAGCAAACAGGAUUAGAUACCCUGGUAGUCCUAGCCCUAAACCAUCAGGACUUGGGGUUUGCCCUGUACGGGGCAAGUCCCGUAGCUAACGCGUUAAGUCCUGCGCCUGGGGAGUACGGUCGCAAGGCUGAAACUCAAAGGAAUUGACGGGGGCCCGCACAAGCGGUGGAACAUGUGGUUCAAUUCGACGCAACGCGAAGAAC
rnacentral:rRNA from 1 species